rnacentral:rRNA from 1 species
CCCUUAGAUGUCCGGGGCUGCACGCGCGCUACACUGAAGGAAUCAGCGUGCUAAAACCAUUGUCGAAAGGCAUUGGUAAACCCAUUAAAAUCCUACGUGAUUGGGAUCGGGAAUUGCAAUUAUUUCCCUUGAACGAGGAAUUCCCAGUAAGUGUGGGUCAUAAGCUCGCGUUGAUUACGUCCCUGCCCUUUGUACACACCGCCCGUCGCUGCCCGGGACUGAGCCGUUCCGAGAAAAGCGGGGACUGCUGCUGUCGGGGCUUUCGGGCCUUGGCUUCGGUGGAAACCGCUUUAAUCGCAGUGGCUUGAACCGGGCAAAAGUCGUAACA